ensembl:lncRNA
GCCUUGGCAGGAACUAGUAGGGAUCCGUAAUAAACCCCAGGAAGAGUAGCUGCCGCCUUGGCAGGAACUAGUAGGGAUCCGUAAUAAACCCCCAGGAAGAGUAGCGUCACAAACAUUUCACAUAUUUUGCCAAAUGUUAUGUUAUUUAAAAAAUAUAUUUUAAGUAUUCGGGUGUCUCAGGACAUCUUACGAUCACGUUGCAUUGAAUUUCAGAAACACACCUUUUUAACAAUAUACGAGACCUUUCGGAUGAGCAGAUUUCCUGCUUUCACAGGCUGGUGAGAUCAGCCAUUUUCCAGGUGUCAUUUUUGAUGUCUUAAUUACAAACUUCGGCCACCAGGUGGUGCCACAAGUGUUCAUUAGGUGAUCUCUUCUUGAAGACAGCGUCUUCCUUUUUCCUCAUUGUUUGUGUAAGGACACUUUACCAGGUGUUUAAAGACAUUGUGACGUCAGACCUCAGGCUUUAAAGGGAUAGUACACCUCAUAGUUCUAGUUGUGGGGGAUUUUCCAGAGACAGGUCCUAGGUCUAGAUUCAUCUCAUAGUUCUAGUUGUGGGAGAUUUUCCAGAGACAGGUCCUAGGUCUAGAUUCAUCUCAUAGUUCUAGUUGUGGGAGAUUUUCCAGAGACAGGUCCUAGGUCUAGAUUCAUCUCAUAGUUCUAGUUGUGGGAGAUUUUCCAGAGACAGGUCCUAGGUCUAGAUUCAAUUCGUAUCACGUAAUAUCCGUGCUAUAGCGCGAUUAAAAUUUAAAAAACAAUCACUCUAUGAAUCAAUCACUCUAUAAAUCAAUCACUCUAUAAAUCAAUCACUCUAUGAAUCAAUCACUCUAUGAAUCAAAUACUCUAUGAAUCAAUCACUCUAUGAAUCAAUCACUCUAUGAAUCAAUCACUCUAUAAAUCAAUCACUCUAUACCACAGAUCUCCUGAGAUAGGGAUUGAAUCCCCGAGUUACAUUUUGGAUUUAAGUAAUUGAUCAUUUGACCAGUUUAUUUUAAUAUUGUUAAAAUCUCUGACAUGAAUAAAUAAUCCCCGUCAUGGUACAAUUGGACAUAAAAGCGGGAAGGAUGUUGGAUUAGAUUCUGCAUCAGCUUGUGUUUGAUUUGUGGUGACAUAUUGUAGGUG